rnacentral:rRNA from 1 species
UCCAGACUCCUACGGGAGGCAGCAGUGGGGAAUAUUGCACAAUGGGGGAAACCCUGAUGCAGCAACGCCGCGUGAGUGAAGAAGUAUUUCGGUAUGUAAAGCUCUAUCAGCAGGGAAGAGAAUGACGGUACCUGACUAAGAAGCCCCGGCUAACUACGUGCCAGCAGCCGCGGUAAUACGUAGGGGGCAAGCGUUAUCCGGAUUUACUGGGUGUAAAGGGAGCGUAGACGGCGAUGCAAGCCAGAUGUGAAAGCCCGGGGCUCAACCCCGGGACUGCAUUUGAAACUGUCAGGCUGGAGUGCAGGAGAGGUAAGUGGAAUUCCUAGUGUAGCGGUGAAAUGCGUAGAUAUUAGGAGGAACACCAGUGGCGAAGGCGGCUUACUGGACUGUAACUGACGUUGAGGCUCGAAAGCGUGGGGAGCAACCAGGAUUAGAUACCCGGGUAC